AAAACCUUCAUUUCAUUUACUCAGAAAAUAUUUUUGGAGAGUUGGGUCACUCCAGGCAUGGUCCUAGGAGCUGAGGAGACUAAGAAGGCCGAGGCAAAAGGGAGCCUCUGUCAUGGUGGGGGACGGAGCGCAGAUCAGCCAAUACAUUGUAAAAUGAUGAGUUUAAAUAGAUGUAACUGCUAGGAAGAAAUACUCUACGUGAAUGAACCAGGAAAAAGGAGAGCAUUUGGGUCUCCCCUGGGAACGAAUCUACCCCUUAAUGCUGCUCCUUGGACGUGAUGCGUGUCGCAUGGCCCAGCCUAAUGUCCAUGGGCCUGGCAGUGUUCCGACGGCCUCCUGGUCACCCUGCUGGUGAAGGAGAGAUCCUCCACCCUAAAAAGGGUGAGACACACACAGUGCAGACAUCGGCCACAUGAGAACUGCAGCAGUUUCUUGGUCACAGAUACUCAUAGCCUGGGGGCAGAGGACACCAUACUCUAUGCUGUGCAGGCCACACCGAGACACCACACUCCAUGCUGUGCAGGCCACACUGAGACACCAUCUCCAUGCUGUGCCAGCUACACCAAGGACACCGCACUCUGUGCCAUGCAGGCCACACAGAGACUGCCCUCAGGAACACAGUGAACCAACAGGGCUGUGGGAGGAGGUUUGUAGUGACAGGCGGGGUUGGUGUCUGGUUCCUGCCGGAGGAUGUGUUGGGUUUUUGAAAAUAAUUCUGCAAGCUGGCAGUAAAGUGAAAUCUGUUAGGUUGAGGACCAGGUGGGGUUCAGCUGCUCUGGAACUAGCUGGGUGGGGAGCCUUUUCCACUGGGUGGGGGGCACUUCUGGUGAGGGCAGGGGAACUCACAAUUAAGCCUUUGGGGUCUGUGAGGCUAAAAGAUGUCAUGGCGGCACUUUGAAAUUUUAGGUCUUGCAAUAUAGGAGGGACUCUUGGCUUAAGGGAAGGUCCUGGAACUCUCAUGACUGUGGACUGGUGUGGGAACUCCUCUUACAGCAAAGUA
rnacentral:lncRNA from 1 species